UACGAAGGGGGCUAGCGUUGCUCGGAAUCACUGGGCGUAAAGCGCACGUAGGCGGGUUGUUAAGUCGGGGGUGAAAUCCUGGAGCUCAACUCCAGAACUGCCUUCGAUACUGGCGACCUUGAGUCCGGGAGAGGUGAGUGGAACUCCGAGUGUAGAGGUGAAAUUCGUAGAUAUUCGGAAGAACACCAGUGGCGAAGGCGGCUCACUGGCCCGGUACUGACGCUGAGGUGACGAAAGCGUGGGGAGCAAACAGG
rnacentral:rRNA from 1 species